CGCGGUGGCUCACACCUGUAAUCCCAGCACUUUGGGAGGCUGUGUAAAUAAGAACUUUGGUCCCUGGGCCCCGGCUGUUUAUCCAUUGGCAACUGAUUUCCCUCUCUGGCCACUUCCUCCUGCACAGAGUUUGGCCUGCCUGCGUUUCCAAAGCUUUGUUUAUACUCUUAUUUGGGAUAUGGAGCCUCCAUGGGAAGGAAUGGGUGUUUUGGACGUGAGAAAAAAAAAAAUAUUUUUCUUCAGGCACCAAACCAACAUGUAGCUCAAAUGACCAGCCCUUUUAUUCCUAGUCAAUAAGCUAUGUGAUUAGAGAUGGAAAGGGGGCAAAUGGAAGAGCAGAUACUCAUGUGAGCUAAUCUGUGAGGGUAGGGAAGACUUUUCCAUGGGUUUUCUCUCUUUCUGCUAUAAACGCUUUUCUCAUUCUCACACUAGCUUUAGACUAAAGGGAAGCAAUACUGGGUGAGAGGUGGAAGCAGACGUAGGCAGAGAAGGCAGUCAAAUGCUCAUUGCAAAGAGAUGGGAAGAUUAAACACUAACCUCAGGAUAGUGCUUAUACCUUGGCAGUGCUGGUAAUGGGGUGGGGGGCUGGGGGAGUGGGAGAGAAAGGGUAUGUGAUCAAGGAAAGAUGCCCAAGGGGGCAUCAACUGUAUUGAUAAUGUUUUCUUUCUCAGGCUGGGUAUUGGGCACACAUGGAUGUUCAUUAUAUUAUUAUUAUUAUUUUUUUUUUUUUGAGACAGAGUCUUGCUCUGUUGCCCAGCCUGGA
rnacentral:lncRNA from 1 species